GAGGAUAGAGCUCGGUGGUAGAGUGCGUGCCUAGCAUGCACGAGAUCAUGGGUUCAAUCCCUAUUACCUCCA
rnacentral:tRNA from 1 species